GUGUUGUAUGAAAGGAGAGAAGGUUAGCACUCCCCUUGACAAGGAUGGAAGAGGCUUCGGCCUGCAACACGCAUACGGUUAAAAUCAAUUAUAUCUUUAUAAAAUUAAUUAUAUCUUUUA